GUUUGGUUAGCUCUGUUGGUAGAGCACUUUACUGGAAUUGGAGAGGUCCCUGGUUCGAAACUAGGGCAAGGCG
rnacentral:tRNA from 1 species